rnacentral:rRNA from 1 species
GACAGCAGCCGCCGCGGGAAUACGAAGGGUGCAAGCGUUGUCCGGAUUUAUUGGGUUUAAAGGGUGCGUAGGCGGCCUAAUAAGUCAGUGGUGAAAGCCUCCAGCUUAACUGGAGAACUGCCAUUGAUACUGUUAGGCUUGAGUAUACUUGAGGUAGGCGGAAUUGACAGUGUAGCGGUGAAAUGCAUAGAUAUUGUCAAGAACACCAAUUGCGAAGGCAGCUUACUAAAUUAUAACUGACGCUGAGGCACGAAAGCGUGGGGAGCAAACAGGAUUAGAUACCCCUGUAGUCCCUGUCUCUUAUAA